rnacentral:rRNA from 1 species
AACGAACGCUGGCGGCAGGCCUAACACAUGCAAGUCGAGCGAGAACUUCGGUUCUAGCGGCGGACGGGUGAGUAACACGUGGGUAACCUGCCCUAAAGUGGGGGAUAACAUUUGGAAACAGAUGCUAAUACCGCAUAAACCUCAAAAGCACAUGCUUUUGAGUUGAAAGAUGGCGUAAGCUAUCGCUUUUGGAUGGACCCGCGGCGUAUUAGCUAGUUGGUGAGGUAAAGGCUCACCAAGGCUGUGAUACGUAGCCGACCUGAGAGGGUAAUCGGCCACAUUGGGACUGAGACACGGCCCAAACUCCUACGGGAGGCAGCAGUAGGGAAUCUUCCACAAUGGACGAAAGUCUGAUGGAGCAACGCCGCGUGAGUGAAGAAGGUUUUCGGAUCGUAAAACUCUGUUGUUGGAGAAGAACGUACGUGAGAGUAACUGUUCACGUAGUGACGGUAUCCAACCAGAAAGCCACGGCUAACUACGUGCCAGCAGCCGCCGUAAAAC